rnacentral:rRNA from 1 species
AUUGAACGCUGGCGGCAGGCUUAACACAUGCAAGUCGAGCGGGGGAAGUUGCUUCGGUAAUUGACCUAGCGGCGGACGGGUGAGUAAUACUUAGGAAUCUGCCUAUUAAUGGGGGACAACAUCUCGAAAGGGAUGCUAAUACCGCAUACGCCCUACGGGGGAAAGCAGGGGAUCACUUGUGACCUUGCGUUAAUAGAUGAGCCUAAGUCGGAUUAGAUAGUUGGUGGGGUAAAGGCCUACCAAGGCGACGAUCUGUAGCGGGUCUGAGAGGAUGGUCCGCCACACUGGGACUGAGACACGGCCCAGCCUCCUACGGGAGGCAGCAGUGGGGAAUAUUGGACAAUGGGCGGAAGCCUGAUCCAGCCAUGCCGCGUGUGUGAAUAAGGCCUUUUGGUUGUAAAGCACUUUAAGCGAGGAGGAGGCUACUAGUAUUAAUACUACUGGAUAGUGGAUGUUACUCGCAGAAUAAGCACCGGUUAACUCUGUGCCAGCCGCCGCAGUAAUAC